rnacentral:tRNA from 1 species
GGGUGGUUAGCUCAGAGGUAGAGCGCUGCCUUCACACGGCAGAGGUCGCUGGUUCGAUACCAGCACUACCUACCA